GCUUGUUGUCUUAUCAGAGUUCCAAAUUAGUGAGGUGGCUGGCCAAGAGUUCCGAUUGUGGGUUUAGACUGUCCUUGUCAUCCUCUUCUGAGAGUUGCAGCACAAAUGCUGUGACUAUUGAUUUUGAUGGUGGUUUUUGUUUUCACUUAUGAAACAAGCAUGCAGUUAUUAAAUUUUAUGUUUAGAGGUAAAGAAUAAUUUCACUUAGCAUGUCUAGAUAUUCAGUUUAGGAUUGCUGUAAUAUUAUU
rnacentral:misc_RNA from 1 species